rnacentral:rRNA from 1 species
UACGUAGGGGGCUAGCGUUGUCCGGAAUCAUUGGGCGUAAAGCGCGUGUAGGCGGCCCGGUAAGUCCGCUGUGAAAGUCGGGGGCUCAACCCUCGAAUGCCGGUGGAUACUGUCGGGCUAGAGUACGGAAGAGGCGAGUGGAAUUCCUGGUGUAGCGGUGAAAUGCGCAGAUAUCAGGAGGAACACCCAUUGCGAAGGCAGCUCGCUGGGACGUUACUGACGCUGAGGAGCGAAAGCCAGGGGAGCAAACGGG